ensembl:lncRNA
ACAUAAUUCAAUUUUGGACAGCUGGAGGGGGUUAGCAGCCCAUGAAUGCCUCUGCUUCAACUUAUUAGCCUUUCUUUAUUUCUCUUUACAAAACAGAGUUAUUUUCCAGCGAUGUAACUAUUAGCAGUAUGGCAGCAUCUGGAAUUUGAGAUCAAGGUGUGAUCAGAGCUCUCCUAGAGGCUGGCAGCUCUACACCCCUGUUCAUUGCUGAUGUUGUGAUCUUGACAGAGGCAAGCCAUAGUGCUCUGCUGGUAGCAUCAUACAGCAGUUCCCACCAGCCCAGCCAGCACACGCUGACACUGUAGGACAGCCUGGCUUUUUGGAACCAAAGAUGAGAGGUGUGCAAAAUACUUUCUAGGAGGUCACUGUGUUCACAACACCAAAAGUUCACCCCCGGAACCUCCCCUAAAAGCCUGCAUGCCAGUAUUGUGAUGGUCUAACAAAUACUGCUCAGAGACUUCAGAGCCAGCGUGAAACAUGUCUUGUUGUCUUUGACUAAGUCUACAUUAGCAAGGAGUUUGAUCCAACAGAAGCAAAUGCUUGGCAAAACAACUACAUUGAGGACCCUUUUGGAGGAGAUUUGAGAGGCAUGUUCGAAUGGUAAUGAGAAGAUAUACUUGGAAAUGGCUGGAUUAUUUUCAGCUGGCAAUUACUGUGGUUGCUGAUAGUCCUUCACUGAAAACUCCUGUCCCUGGAUACUCUUCCAAACAGAAUGCUCCAACGAUAUCUUCCUGGUUGCCUCUGUUGCCAGGUGUGUUUUCUGAAGGACUUCCACCUCUGCAGAUCUUGUUUUUCUUGGCUUUUACUAGAUAGAAAAAGUGUCAGCAGAAUUUUCUUUUCUUUGAAAAGUGCCAAAUAGGUCAUUAAGCUGUGUUGAAAGAGUCCCUGACAACACAGUCAGAUUUCUCUGCUGAACAAAAUACAAUGAAUUCCAGCUUCUCUCUGUGAAGAGGGGAUGGCCUCAGAUUGCUUUCUCUGAACCACUUACUAUACUGUUGCUGAUGGUUGUAUCAGAGUUGUUUAGCAGGUUUAACAGCAAAUAGUACAAAUGCUAUGCUUUGUGUUGACUUCAUAAAUUCCAGAGACUAAGAAGACUCUUCCUGAGCAUCUGGAAGAACAGGUUCCCAGUAGACUCACUUCUGUCAAAAGGAGCUUGCAAACAGGAGUGACAUACCUGGAUAGGCAGAUGCAUUGUUUUACUCUCUCAUUUCAGCCACUCUGCCAACCCUGCCAUGUUUAUCACCCUCUUUCUUCUGCAUCUAAAAUGGUCUAAGGUUUCAGAGCAGAAAUAUCUACUCCACUGCUUUCUAAUAUGCAAAUCAGAUCAUGUUUACUUUGACAUUUUCUAACACUGGGUAAUUUCUGCUUUAGCUCAACUGAGCCAGUACUUAUCAGAUUAAUUUCUGAAUUAUAGAUGUAACCAAUGUAAUAUCCAUGUAAUUAUACUGGAAAUUAAUUAGGCCUAUUAUAUUUAAAUAUUUAUGUGAGCACAGUCUCUAUCCCCCUCACUUAAAUAUUGCCUUCUCUCACUUAUAUGUACAAAAUCUGAGGCUGAAAACAGCCUGAUUGUUGUUGUACAGUAUCAAUUACACUUAGACCCCCACAGAGAGGAAAUCAGCCAGUGCAGGGGGUUCCUUUUCCAAAUUAGAUUUCUUGAAAUACUGGAAAUGGAAAAAAUGCAUGAAAAUCCAUUAUUUCAAUGAGCAGACAUUUUAUAUUAAUUCAUGCAUAGCAGCACAUGGGAUAUUUUUCCCUUUGAAAAACGUCUUUGCAUUAUGUUAUUAUACACAGAAGAAAACAGGAUCUGUUUUGAACAGAAUUAUAGCCUUUGAGUAUCCAAUUAGUGUUGUGGGUGUUUUUUUUUUUAGCUAUUG